rnacentral:sRNA from 1 species
AAAAAAAAAAGAAGAAUGGAGAAAGACGGUCAACAGGUCAUGUGUGGUUCCCCAACUGUUCAUCAGAUUAAGGGAAAGUAUUAGUGUUCUCCGACCGAAGCAAGUUCAAGCAAGCUGUAUCUUUGCAGUUCCUGAAUUAUCCUUGUGCUUAUGUUACUGGACAGCCUUAUCGUUUGCCUUGGUAUAUAUUCUUGAAGGACUAUUUAACCCCUGUUUAGGGGUUUCAAGUUUCAGGUUCUGGAUUUCAAGUUCCAGAUUUCAGGUUUUUAUAUUCAGUCUUGGUAUUACAUUGUGAUGUUGUGAGUUUUGGUGCUACUCUGAACUUUGAUUAUCUUCAUCAUUGCUGACCAUUCGUCUUGGCUGGAAGAUACUUGUGUUACUAUGAACAUUUUAUAUGAAGUGAACUGAUCCUUUUUACAGAAUCUUUGUCUUGAAAUGAAAUAUUGUUGAAGACAAUAUUAUUAGACAGUAUAAUAUAGGUGAUUAUUUUUUUGUUUUAAAUACUAUUAAGUAUUUUAUUAAACUCAACUUAUGAUGGGGUUAGUUAUUUCACAUCAUGCUAUAUGUACUUGUAUUUUACUUUUCAUCCCCAUUAGUCAUAUGUCAUUUCAUUGUAUAGGAAAAUCAUUGGAUUAAAUGUAUAGUUUAAUUAAUAAAUCAUCA